rnacentral:rRNA from 1 species
GACGAACGCUGGCGGCGUGCCUAAUACAUGCAAGUCGAGCGGACGAAUCGAAAGCUUGCUUUUGAUUCGUUAGCGGCGGACGGGUGAGUAACACGUGGGCAACCUGCCCUGUAGACGGGGAUAACACCGAGAAAUCGGUGCUAAUACCGGAUAACACGAAAUGUCGCUUGACGUCUCGUUGAAAGACGGCGCAAGCUGUCGCUACAGGAUGGGCCCGCGGCGCAUUAGCUAGUUGGUGAGGUAACGGCUCACCAAGGCGACGAUGCGUAGCCGACCUGAGAGGGUGAUCGGCCACACUGGGACUGAGACACGGCCCAGACUCCUACGGGAGGCAGCAGUAAGGAAUCUUCCGCAAUGGACGAAAGUCUGACGGAGCAACGCCGCGUGAGCGAAGAAGGCCUUCGGGUCGUAAAGCUCUGUUGUUAGGGAAGAACAAGUAACGCAGUAACUGGCGUUACCGUGACGGUACCUAACGAGAAAGCCACGGCUAACUACGUG